AAGAAAUAAUAUAGAAAUUCAAAAAUAAACUAAAAUAGAAACCUUAAUAAAAUAUUAAAAUAUAAAUCUUAAUUAAAUCCUACUCAAAAUCUAAUCAAAUUCUAAUAAAAUCCAAGUCAAAUCUUAACCAAAUCCUAAAUAAAUCCUAGUCAAAUCCUAAAAAAUUCUAACCAAAUCUUAAUCAAAUCGUAAACCAACUUUAAUCAAAUCCUAGUCAAAUCCUAAACAAAUCCUAACCAAACUCUAAACAAAUCCUAAAAAAAUCCUAAAUAAAUCUUAACCAAAUCCUAAACAAAUCCUAAUCAAAUUCUAAACAAAUCCUAAAAAAAUCCUAACCAAAUCCUAAAUUAAUCAUAGUCAAAUCCUAAAUAAAUCCUGACCAAAUCCUAAACAAAUCCUAAAUAAAUCCUAAAUAAAUCCUAAAUAAAUCCUAAAUAAAUCCUAAACAUAUCCUAAUCAAAUCUUAAACAAAUCCUAAAUAAAUCCUAAAUAAAUCCUAAAUAAAUCCUAAUAAAUCUUAAAUAAAUCCUAAAUAAAUCCUAAUAAAAACCUAAAUAAAUCCUAAAUUUAUCCUAAUCAAAUCCUAAUCAAAUCCUAAAUAAAU
rnacentral:lncRNA from 1 species